UUGGAGGGCAAGUCUGGUGCCAGCAGCCGCGGUAAUUCCAGCUCCAAUAGCGUAUAUUAAAGUUGUUGCAGUUAAAAAGCUCGUAGUUGAACCUCGGGGUCUACCCAUUGGUCAGGCUUAAUUGUCUGCACUGGUGAGAUGGAUCUCUACCUUCUGAGGAACUUUCAUGCCAUUUAUUUGGUGUGAUGGGAAAUCAGGACUGUUACUUUGAAAAAAUUAGAGUGUUUAAAGCAGGC
rnacentral:rRNA from 1 species